AAAUUAAGGUUAAUGCCUUGCAUUCUCUUUGAUUAAAUUCGUUUAUGAUUAGAUUGACACCUCUUGUACUACAUUGACUUUGAGGAGUAAACUUUAUCCAUAUCAAGAUAGCAUUUCAUUUUACCUAAACUUUCACCGAUUGAAGUAUUAUAAUAAGAAUCAAAUUAUAUUUUCUAAAUGGAAAUAAAAUAAAUCAUAGGUCAAUAGUGUUUAUGAUUCCGGAGCACGUGCGCCUAACGUAUAUCAUGUGAUCAAUUCUAUAGGGUUAAAAUAUAAUCGCACAUCAAAAGAGUGGAAGGUGGACAAUAGACAAAUCGCAGAAAAGAUAUCCAAUCCAACCCUCCUACAUAAAAAGUUGAAGCAAAAAGGCAUCACUCUAAUUACCAGACAUGACUGCAUUAGUUCCCAC
rnacentral:lncRNA from 1 species